UUCCGGUUGAUCCUGCCGGAGGCCAUUGCUAUCGGAGUUCGAUUUAGCCAUGCUAGUUGCACGGGUUUAGACCCGUGGCGAAAAGCUCAGUAACACGUGGCCAAGCUACCCUGUGGACCAGGAUAACCUCGGGAAACUGAGGCUAAUCCUGGGUAACGCUCCCCCACUGGAAUGUGGGGAGCCGGAAACGCUCCGGCGCCACAGGAUGCGGCUGCGGCCGAUUAGGUAGACGGUGGGGUAACGGCCCACCGUGCCAGUAAUCGGUACGGGUUGUGAGAGCAAGAGCCCGGAGACGGUAUCUGAGACAAGAUACCGGGCCCUACGGGGCGCAGCAGGCGCGAAACCUUUACACUGCACGCCAGUGCGAUAAGGGGAUCCCCAGUGCGAGGGCAUAUAGUCCUCGCUUUUCACCACCGUAGGGAGGUGGUGGAACAAGAGCUGGGCAAGACCGGUGCCAGCCGCCGCGGUAAUACCGGCAGCUCAAGUGAUGGCCGCUGUUAUUGGGCCUAAAGCGUCCGUAGCCUGCCAGGUAAGUUCGUCGGGAAAUCUACGUGCCCAACACGUAGGCGGCCGGCGAAACCUGCCUGGCUCGGGACUGGACGGCUCGAGGGGUACGACCGGGGUAGGAGUGAAAUCCUAUAAUCCUGGUCGGACCACCGGUGGCGAAAGCGCCUCGAGAGGACAGCUCCGACGGUGAGGGACGAAAGCCAAGGUCACGAACCGGAUUAGAUACCCGGGUAGUCUUGGCCGUAAACGAUGUCCGUUAGGUGUGGCGCAGGCUACGAGCCUGCGCUGUGCCGCAGUGAAGACGCUAAACGGACCGCCUGGGAAGUACGUCCGCAAGGAUGAAACUUAAAGGAAUUGGCGGGGGAGCACUACAACCGGAGGAGCCUGCGGUUUAAUUGGAUUCAACGCCGGA
rnacentral:rRNA from 1 species